ACGGUGGGGAAGAGAGGUCUGAAGGGCGGUAAGGGGGAGCAGGGUCCUCCUGGACUGGACCAGCCCUGUCCUGUGGGACAGGAUGGACUGCCCAUACCAGGAUGUUGGCACAAGUGAUGACUAACAUCAAGCAUGGCCACUGUACAUAUUGAUAUGGUAUAUAUUGCAACUGAAUACUACAUCGCAUUUAUGUUCUUUUUUGCCUUUUUAUGGAAACGUUUUAUAUAAUAUAUAGAGAUUUUUUUGUUUGUUAUUUUGAGUCAACAAUAUUAACCAGACCGCAUAUAUCGAUCGAUACAGAUAUUUUUUGUAAACAUAGACUCUGGAUAUAAAGUAAAAUGGAGUCAAUGAGACACAGACAUCUUUGAGAAACAUCAAGACAGAGAAAUAAAGCAGCAAACAGACUCCCAACCUAACGGACAUACAGACACAUGCUGGAAAGUGGAUGGAUAGGGAGAGUGGUCUUACUAAUGGAGUCUCGUCUGCCAUAUUGCUGCCUGGUCAUUAAUUUUGCAUGGGAGUGUGUGCUCGCGCAGCCCUGCUCAACCCCACGGAUGGACAGACCUCCUGGUGUGGUAAAUGGAGGAGUGUUGGUCAGUGCUCUUCUCCUCUCUCUGUUUUUUAAAGGAGGAGAAGGAGGAGGAGAGGAGGAGACAGAAGCUCAAACGCAAGCGUCUCGCUCUCUCUCUACCCAGAGGGCCUGGAGGACAGAGGACAGACAGUCAUGGGAGCAAAGAGGACAGACAACCUCUAUUGAGAGAGUCAUGAAACAGUUCCGUGCAAUUCAGUUCAUUGAAGAAUACUGAGAUCCUGCAUUAUGGAAAAAUACCACUAGAGGGCGACACAGAACACUUCAUUUACACUUUCACCUGAAGAGGAAUCUCACCCAUUGGCUGUUGUAGUUUUUUACCACACUCACAGUUGGUUCUGGGCUAUAGAGGCAAGGAUUUACCUAUGAUUACACAAUAAUAAUAAUAAUAAUAAUAUAUGAUGUCUGUGGAUUCACCCGACGGAUAUGAUGAAAGUGUUUUUAUGAUAUGGAAUAUGACAAUUUAAUUUGUUGCUCUUCUUUACUUUAGUGUUUCCAUUUAAUAAAGUGCAUGAUCAACAAGUCACAUCAUUAUAUAUAGUAGCUUCCCCCAUACCAGCACACAAAGGCAAUAAGUUACUGAGGUAUUUACUUUGCAAAGAACAAUCUCUAACAGUCUUUCCAUGUAAAAUGCCACAAGGCAUUGUUUCUUUAUGCAGAUGUUUCUUUUUUGUGAGUGGGUGACACUACUGGGAGUGAUGACAAGUGUGAUGUUUUAUUUGAUUUUAUCUAGUUCAGUUACCUUUGCAUUCCUGUGCAUGGACGUGUUUGUAUAAUAUACAGAUGCAUACUAAGUUCAUUGUGUUCAAUUCAAAGUCAGAACUGAAGGAGCCAUUUGCAGUAUUAACAAAUAUGGAGUAAUCCAUCAAUGAAGUUGAAUAUGAAGUUCAUUUGAAUAUUAAGUCACUUUGUGAUUUGUAUUUGGCAUUCAUCAGAUGCCAAUGAGAAAUAUCACAUCAGUAUUUUCUGACAGCGUUGACAGUACAGUGUUGAAGACGUAUAUUUAAGUAUUAUCACUUAACCUUAGCUAAAGAGACAUUUAGAUGAAAUACUGUUUUCUCAACAACAGUAUGAAUUCUUGCUGCUGACUUAAAAUUGUAUUGUUUGUUUUUCUUAACCAACGAGUUUAGUCAUAUAAGACAAGAGUUCACAGACUGAAGUACAAUAAUGUACCCAAAGUCAUUGAUUUAAUAAUAGUUUUACUCAUUGAUCCACAUUGACACACCAUGACAAAAAGGUCAUCAUUGACGGUUGGUUUAACUAUACCUACUUGUUUUUUUUUUUUAUACAUUAUCACAUCAUGAAUGACAUUUUUUCAUUUUUUCUGAUUUACAUGUUUCUUUUCUGACUUUAUGGAUUGUCUUUUGGAGAUGUAUCUUCUUGGUGCUCGAUCACUCUUUCUGACUUUAUGAAUUCUCUUUUGGAAAUCUAUCUACUUGGUGCUCGAUCACUCUGCGUUUCUGUUUUUCUCAAGUCUUCCUGUAUGGUCC